rnacentral:rRNA from 1 species
AGAAAAUAGAUACCCAGGUAGUCCUAGCCCUAAACGAUGAAUACUUGGUGUCUGGAGUUUUUAUUCUCCGGGUGCCGUCGCUAAACGUUUUUAAGUAUUCCGCCUGGGGAGUACGCACGCAAGUGUGAAACUCAAAGGAAUUGACGGGGGACCCCGCACAAGCGGUGGAGCAUGUGGUUUAAUUCGACGCAACGCGAAGAACCUUACCUGGACUAGAAUGCGAGGGAAGCUUGGGUAACGCCAAGCGUCCGGGCAACCGGACCCGAAGCAAGGUGCUGCAUGGCUGUCGUCAGCUCGUGUCGUGAGAUGUUGGGUUAAGCCCCGCAACGAGCGCAACCCCUAUUGAUAAUUGCUAACAGGUUAUGCUGAGAACUUUAUCAAGACUGCUGUUGAUAAACGGAGAAGGUGGGGAUGACGUCAAGUCAUCAUGGCCUUUA